rnacentral:tRNA from 1 species
GGAGCGAUAGCUUAAAAUGGGAAAAGUGCUGGCGGCUACGGUCCACCAGAGAUGCAGGGUUCGAACCCCACUCGCUUCA